AAUGAACGCUGGCGGCAUGCCUUACACAUGCAAGUCGAACGGCAGCAUGACCUAGCUUGCUAGGUUGAUGGCGAGUGGCGAACGGGUGAGUAAUGCAUCGGAACGUGCCUUUUAGUGGGGGAUAACGUAGCGAAAGUUACGCUAAUACCGCAUAUUCUCUGAGGAGGAAAGCAGGGGACCUUCGGGCCUUGCGCUAGAAGAGCGGCCGAUGUCGGAUUAGCUAGUUGGUGAGGUAAAGGCUCACCAAGGCAACGAUCCGUAGCGGGUCUGAGAGGAUGAUCCGCCACACUGGGACUGAGACACGGCCCAGACUCCUACGGGAGGCAGCAGUGGGGAAUUUUGGACAAUGGGCGCAAGCCUGAUCCAGCCAUGCCGCAUGAGUGAAGAAGGCCUUCGGGUUGUAAAGCUCUUUCGGCUGGGAAGAAAUCGCACCCUCUAAUACAGGGUGUGGAUGACGGUACCAGCAUAAGAAGCACCGGCUAACUACGUG
rnacentral:rRNA from 1 species